GAUGAACGCUGGCGGCGUGCCUAAUACAUGCAAGUCGAGCGAACGGACGAGAAGCUUGCUUCUCUGAUGUUAGCGGCGGAAGGGUGAGUAACACGUGGAUAACCUACCUAUAAGACUGGGAUAACUUCGGGAAACCGGAGCUAAUACCGGAUGAUAUUUUGAACCGCAUGGUUCAAAAGUGAAAGACGGUCUUGCUGUCACUUAUAGAUGGAUCCGCGCUGCAUUAGCUAGUUGGUAAGGUAACGGCUUACCAAGGCAACGAUGCAUAGCCGACCUGAGAGGGUGGUCGGCCACACUGGAACUGAGACACGGUCCAGACUCCUACGGGAGGCAGCAGUAGGGAAUCUUCCGCAAUGGGCGAAAGCCUGACGGAGCAACGCCGCGGGAGUGAUGAAGGUCUUCGGAUCGUAAAACUCUGUUAUUAGGGAAGAACAUAUGUGUAAGUAACUGUGCACAUCUUGACGGUACCUAAUCAGAAAGCCACGGCUAACUACGUG
rnacentral:rRNA from 1 species